AUGGACUUAGGGCUCAUAUUGGUUUCCUUUGUCCUUAUUUUAAAAGGAGUCCAGUGUGAGGUGCAUUUGCUGGAGUCUGGCGGACGCUUAGUUCAGCCUGGAAAGUCUCUGAAACUCUCCUGUGCAGCCUCUGGAUUCACCUUCAGUAACUACUGGAUGAAUUGGGUCCGCCAGGCUCCAGGAAAGGGGCUGGAAUGGGUCGCAAAAAUUAAUCAAGGUGGUGAUACCACCAGGUAUACCGAUGCUGUGAAGGGCCGGUUCACAAUCUCCAGAGACAAUGCCAAGAACACUCUGUACCUGGAAAUGAACAAUCUAAGGUCUGAGGACACAGCCAUGUAUUACUGUGCCAACAGACACAGUGAGUGA